GUGAAUCAUCGAAUCUUUGAACGCACAUUGCACCCUCCUCGGAGAGUAUGCCUGUUUGAGGGUCAGCCUCUAAAAAAUCGCCACCGUUGCUGUUUCGCGGUGGCGUUCGUCGGAAAUUGGGUUCUCUUACAUCUCUCUGGGUCUUCUGCGUCUUAAAAUUUUAUUUUUGGUCACAUGAACGUUUCUAAGCUUUAUUUAUUUACAUGUUUAAGGUAUCGAUUCUUAUUAGACGUGACCAUCAUAUCGGAUCGGGUCCAAACUCUUUCAUAUACU
rnacentral:misc_RNA from 1 species